rnacentral:rRNA from 1 species
UACGAAGGGGGCUAGCGUUGCUCGGAAUCACUGGGCGUAAAGCGCACGUAGGCGGAUUGCUAAGUCAGGGGUGAAAUCCUGGAGCUCAACUCCAGAACUGCCUUUGAUACUGGCGAUCUUGAGUCCGGGAGAGGUGAGUGGAACUGCGAGUGUAGAGGUGAAAUUCGUAGAUAUUCGCAAGAACACCAGUGGCGAAGGCGGCUCAUUGGCCUAAGACUGACGCUGAGGCGCGACGGCGUGGGGAGCGAACAGG